rnacentral:rRNA from 1 species
UACGAAGGGGGCAAGCGUUGUUCGGAAUUACUGGGCGUAAAGCGAGUGUAGGUGGUUGUCAUAGUCAGGUGUGAAAGCCUUGAGCUCAACUCAAGAAAUGCACUUGAUACUGAAGAUCUUGAGUUCGGGAGAGGUGAGUGGAACUGCGAGUGUAGAGGUGAAAUUCGUAGAUAUUCGCAAGAACACCAGUGGCGAAGGCGGCUCACUGGCCCGAUACUGACGCUGAGCACGAAGCGUGGGAGCAAACAGG